CGAUCACCUAUCCGAUGUGGUCAGAUCGAGAACAAUCGAGUAGCGGAGUCGAGAGACUUCUCGUCCGAUGCCCUACCCAUCGUCCCGACCCUUGCUGUCUUCGACUUCCAGGGUUCACAUUACCAACGUCGCCAUGCCCUACUGAGCUUGUCAUCUGAUGCAUAUGGCGUGGUACUUACCAAGGCACCCUAACAGGUAAUUCGCGGUGCACCUCAACUCUGCGAGGGAUCCAUGGCUUUCGCCUUAAACUACUUCCAAUAAAUCAGUAUUUCGAACGAAAAGGAUUCACGUUCUCGAUCGAAACCCCUAUAAAUGGAGAGGGAGCUACUGCUUCUUUGUAACAAACAAUAGGGAGCAGAGGGCAUCUUCUUCUUGCUCUUCCUCUUUAUUCGAUCCCCCAAUCUAUUCCACUCACCUCUUUCUUGUUCCGCUUCUGCCGAACGAUCGACAACUUCUCUCACGUACUCCCAUGGUUUCCCGGUCCUUGAUGGCUCUGUUUCUGUGACUUUGCUCCCCAACCCCAAUCUGUUACUGCUUCCCUCACUUCUCCCGUCAAUUCCUUCACCGAGUUGGGGGGGUUUCCAAUCCAACCUUUCUGCAUUCUUUCGCACGAACAGAAUUGGGGCAUGUUUCUGAUUCAAACAUCUUUCCGUCCGUUUUCAUUAAUUUGUUGCUAAUGCAUCCCGUCGCACAAAUAGAAUUGCGGUAUGUAUUCUGAUUCAGACAUUUUUCCGUCCGUUUAUAUAGUUGUUUGGUGGUUACUUAGCCUCCUCCGCAUCGCCCGAUCUCCGUAAGUAAGCCACCCAUCCUCCUCCUCCUCAAAUUGAGUUUCAGGAUGCGCUCCGCCACCGUUAUUGGGAUCAGCCAGACCGAUUGAUCCCGCAAAGCGGUCGCGGCAGAUGUCCGGCGCUACCAAAGCGGUAGAAGAGAGAAUUCUCUUCCCGGCAAAGAUGGAGGAGGCGGCGCCAGCGUCGGAUGGUGAACAGUGGCGACGGCCAGGCGGUUGUAAUCCUGUGAAGAAGCCGGGACCAGUGUCCAUGGACCACGUCCUCCUGGCCCUGCGCGAGACCAAGGAGGAGAGAGAGGUCCGGAUCCGGAGUCUUUUCAACUUCUUCGAUGCGGCCGGCGUCGGCCAUCUCGACUACGUACAGAUCGAGGCCGGCCUCUCCGCCCUUCGCAUCCCCGCCGAGUACAAGUACGCCAGGGAUCUACUGAAGGUGUGCGAUGCCAACCGAGACGGCCGUGUCGACUACCAGGAGUUCCGGCGCUACUUGGACGACAAGGAGCUCGAGCUCUACCGCAUCUUCCAGGCCAUUGACGUCGAGCACAAUGGUUGCAUCUUGCCGGAGGAGCUCUGGGACGCACUCAUUAAAGCAGGGAUUGAGAUUGAUGACGAGGAACUUGUCCGUUUUGUGGAGCAUGUGGAUAAGGAUAAUAAUGGGAUAAUAACUUUUGAGGAAUGGAGAGAUUUUCUUCUGCUUUACCCUCAUGAAGCAACAAUUGAAAACAUUUAUCAGUACUGGGAAAAAGUUUGUCUUGUGGAUAUUGGAGAACAGGCAGUUAUUCCAGAAGGGAUAAGUAAACAUGUAAAUGCAAGCAAAUACUUGAUUGCAGGAGGGUUAGCUGGGGCAGCUUCUCGUACAGUUACUGCUCCUCUCGAUCGUCUUAAGGUAGUUUUGCAAGUACGAACAACACAAGCACGCAUUAUGCCGGCAAUAAAAGACAUUUGGAGAGACGGUCGUUUCUUGGGUUUUUUCAGAGGGAAUGGCUUAAAUGUAAUGAAGGUUGCACCAGAAAGUGCAAUAAAAUUUUAUACAUUUGAAAUGCUAAAAGAUUUCAUUGUCACAGCCAAAGGUGAAGAGAAGAGUGAUAUUGGGGCUUCUGGGCGACUGAUUGCUGGUGGUUUAGCAGGUGCAGUGGCACAAACUGCUAUAUAUCCACUUGAUCUUGUGAAAACACGAUUGCAAACUUAUGCCUGUGAAGGUGGAAUAGAUCUUAGCGCAUAUGAGACCUUGAAAGAUAUGUCUAGAACAUAUAUUCUGAAGGACAGUGAACCGGGUCCACUUGUGCAACUAGGUUGUGGAACUAUCUCAGGAGCUCUUGGAGCAACAUGUGUCUACCCUUUGCAGGUUAUUAGAACAAGAAUGCAAGCCCAGCACACCAAUUCAUCUUCUGCAUAUAAUGGAAUGUGUGAUGUGUUCUGGAAAACCCUUCGAAAUGAAGGUUUUUCGGGAUUCUAUAAAGGGAUAAUUCCAAAUCUGCUCAAAGUAGUGCCAUCUGCUAGUAUUACUUAUCUUAUUUAUGAGACCAUGAAAAAGAGUCUAUAUCUUGAUUAGACAACUAUUUGGUUUUGCUUCAUUUCCACCAUAAUUGACAUGACUGACUAUAAAGUACAUGAUGAUGAUGAUGAAGAGGAGAAGAUUACAGAUUUGAGUAGGUGAUAUGAUUGUUUCAAUUGUAUCUUGGUAUUUUUCUUCACAUAUGAAGUGAAGGUUGUCUGAACAACUCUUUUUACACUUCUCUUUGGAGAUAAUAAUAAACGAGUUAGCUUUUUCAGGAAUGAUGAGUUCUUAACAUUUUCGUGAUCAAAUAUAUUAGAGAUUUUAAAGAAGAUGAUUCAUUGCGGUCUUGGAGGCACUUUGUUUGAUGGUCUUGCUCUGAUGUGAUCUCAUCAUCCAAAGGUUUUAUGAUAAUACGGAGUUCAAAUCUUGACAAUCUUGCAACUGACUUCUGUUCGAAAAAUGGAAAAGUAUUGCUGAAUCAUUUUCUAAUAGUAACAAACAGAUCUAUGACUUUAUAUGAGAGGUUCAUUGCUGAAAAGUUAAUAUUACAUCAGAAAAAUAAUCCCAUCUCAAGAUGUUAGUUGUACCUAGUUGAAAGUCAUUAUUUAUCUAUGAAGACUAACUGUUCACCAAUUAGAAUCUUGGGUUUCCUUAAUUAAGAAAGAUGGGAUAGAAUAGAUAACUUCAAAUCAGUUAUUUUUGCCAAAGUCAAAUGACAUGGCCAUUGAGCACAGCCAUCUGUAAGCAUCCAGUCUUCUGUUUGUUGACUAAAUUGGUUCUUCUUGCCUAAGCAUUCUGAUAAUAUGUUGAUGCUGGUAGUGGUCAUUCUGAUAUUAGAAUUUUAGCUUCUGUGUCUUUUGUCCACCAUGUAUUACUCUAAUAGGUUUCAUCAAAUUCACUUUCUGUUUUGUUCCAGUAGGAAGCUUAUCCAUCAGUGCCCUUUUGUGGACUUUGUCCUUGAUGCCUAAAGCAAUCUGUUCAACUAAUAUUGGUGGCAAACUGCAUGCACAAUUGCCUGAAUUUUUCAACCUCUCUUCUCUAUUUUCAUUUAUGCCUUUGCUAGUCUUCUCGGGUGUCCAAAAGGUCUCACAAUCAUGAUUCAAGAAAGCUUUCAUGAGAGUAGCUUCAAGUUCAAAGGAAUUUAACUGUGAAAUUUAGAUCUAUUUUUGGAGUUCAAAUAUCAUUCAACCAUGGCUCCUUGCCACCAUGAAGUUGGAUACAAGUACAUGCUGAGAUCAACAUUCACAACCGAAGGACUAUGAAACUUUGCCAUCAGUCUUUUGUACUCAAUUUUAUCCUUGCUUGUUGCUGAUGCACUGAAAUUCUUUAUUUUAGCUGUUGAUUACUUGGUUAUUGUUUUUAUUGCAGUGCAGUGCUCUCUAGCUUUUAGAACAUACCCAAGAAGGAAACUGGUUGUGCUAGGUGACGUAGCUUCCAAGAGUAUAUUUAUUAUUUAACACUGAUGUUGUAUGAUUCAUACAUAGCAAAUAUAAUGUCAGGAGGUUAAAUUCAUGACCAUCUAAGUUGGUUUCA